rnacentral:rRNA from 1 species
CUACGGGUGGCAGCAGUCGAGAAUCUUUCGCAAUGGGGGAAACCCUGACGACGCGACGCCGCGUGGAGGAUGAAGGCCUUCGGGUUGUAAACUCCUGUCAGCAGGGGAGAACAAGCUUUUGGUGAAUAACUGAGAGCUUUGACAGUACCUGCAGAGGAAGCCACGGCUAACUCUGUGCCAGCAGCCGCGGUAAUACAGAGGUGGCAAGCGUUGUUCGGAUUUAUUGGGCGUAAAGGGUCCGUAGGCGGCCUGGAAAGUUGGAUGUGAAAUCCCACAGCUUAACUGUGGAACUGCAUUCAAAACUUCUAGGCUCGAGUGUGAUAGGGGUAAUGGGAAUUCCCGGUGUAAGGGUGAAAUCUGCAGAGAUCGGGAGGAACACCAGUCGCGAAGGCGCAUUACUGGAUCACUACUGACGCUGAGGGACGAAAGCCAGGGGAGCAAACGGGAUUAGAUACCCCUGUAGUC